rnacentral:rRNA from 1 species
CAAUAGCGUAUAUUUAAGUUGUUGCAGUUAAAAAGCUCGUAGUUGGAUUUCGGAUGGGACUUGCCGGUCCGUCGUUUCGAUGUGCACUGGCCAGUCCUCUCUUGUUGUCGGGGACUAGCUCCUGGGCUUCACUGUCCGGGACUAGGAGCUGACGAGGUUACUUUGAGUAAAUUAGAGUGUUCAAAGCAAGCCUACGCUCUGAAUACAUUAGCAUGGAAUAACACGAUAGGACUCUGGCUUAUCUUGUUGGUCUGUGAGACCAGAGUAAUGAUUAAGAGGGACAGUCGGGGGCAUUCGUAUUUCAUUGUCAGAGGUGAAAUUCUUGGAUUUAUGAAAGACGAACUUCUGCGAAAGCAUUUGUCAAGGAUGUUUUCAUUAA